rfam:Sphingobium sp. EP60837 chromosome 2, complete sequence.
CUCGAAAAAGGCAAACCGAUGGUGACAUCGGGACGCAAAGUCUCCGGCCUUGGUUGCAAGGUAGCGGGGCUACCGAAG